CUAUGUUAUUUUGUCUUAGUUAGGAAAGUAAUGUUUAGUUAGGAAAGUCUGGUGCCUUUAGUCUCUUCCACAUGGUGGAAGUGGAAGGUGGAAGGUAUACAGUUUAUCAUUAAUUCAACAACGGUAUUGGAUCUUUAUCGGGUAUCAACAGAUACGCAAAGCCCAGGCAUCGGGACUGAAAAAGUUGGAUUGGU